AGUAAAAUGACUGCGGAGUUUCUCAAAGCUCUAGCCAGAGAAUACAAAAAAGUGAAACUUCUAAGAAUAACACCAUGCGUAUGGAUUGCUGAUUAUCUCUCUGAGCCAUAUUCCUGGCUCUUUCAUAGUCUAUUGUUUUGCUCGGGUUUAACGAAAGUUAACGCGCAGGGCGGGAAUCUUCCGUUUCGACAAUUCUGCACUGUCUCUAGCUAAAACUGAAAAUUUUUUGAACCUCCGGUAGUGUACAAAUACAUUAUAAACAACCUUCGAAACCAAACGAAGGAAACCUUUGAAUUUCCUGCAUAAAAUGAAAAUCACGGCAUGCAGAAUACACAUACAACAGGAAAAGUGAAUGCAAAUGGCAAGCUGGGAUAUAUAGUUGCACGUUCACAGUCUUCUCCAGAAGUGACAACUUUAAAUGGAUUAAAAAACUUUGUGACUGAAAGACACUCAUUCACUGGAGCUCUAGAAGAGCUACGAAUAAGUAAUACAAUGAAAGAACAGCCAGAAAGCAGGGAAAUGCCAGCUGUAAGCCCUAUUACAACUCAAGUGCGGUGUCCAUGUGGCUGCUACCUGAAGCCAGCUGUUGGUGUAAAUAUACGAACACGAGAGAAGAGCACAAUGCAGCUGCAUGUUGUGGGAUCAGAAAUUCUCAACUAUCAGGGUCGUAUCUACUCACCUGAAGACAUAGCACCAAUCUGGAAAAAAGAUUGUCGUACUUGGCUUUGGAAGUCAUCAACAAAAGUUGAGAGAUAGCAUUCCAAAAGUUCUUCAGUAUGCCUCAGUCCUGGAAGCAAGACUUUUAUCCCAUAUGUAAUUAAUCAACACCUUUGUACAAAGUGGCUAAAAAAUUUAACAGUAUAUAACUUUUCAUGAGUAUUAUAAAACAACACAUACUUCUUUUCAAUGUAUACUAUAUGAAGCAAAUAUACACUUUCUUAAAUAACUUA